UAAAAACCCCGACUUCGGAAGGGGUGCAUUUAUUAGAUACAAAACCAAUGCCCUUCGGGGCUCUUUGGUGAUUCAUGAUAACUAUACGAAUCGCACGGCCUUGCGCCGGCGAUGGUUCAUUCAAAUUUCUUCCCUAUCAACUUUCGAUGUUUGGGUAUUGGCCAAACAUGGUUGCAACGGGUAACGGAGGGUUAGGGCUCGACCCCGGAGAAGGAGCCUGAGAAACGGCUACUACAUCCAAGGAAGGCAGCAGGCGCGCAAAUUACCCAAUCCCGACUCGGGGAGGUAGUGACAAUAAAUACUGAUACAGGGCCCUUUCGGGCCUUGUAAUUGGAAUGAGUACAAUUUAAAUCCCUUAACGAGGAACAAUUGGAGGGCAAGUCUGGUGCCAGCAGCCGCGGUAAUUCCAGCUCCAAUAGCGUAUAUUAAAGUUGUUGUGGUUAAAAAGCUCGUAGUUGAACCUUGGGCCUGGCUGGCCGGUCCGCCUCACCGCGUGCACUGGUCCGGCCGGGCCUUUCCCUCUGUGGAACCCCAUACCCUUCACUGGGCGUGGCGGGGAAACAGGACAUUUACUUU
rnacentral:rRNA from 1 species